CCCUUAGAUGUUCUGGGCCGCACGCGCGCUACACUGACGAAGUCAGCGAGCAUGUCCUCCGCCGACAGGUGCGGGGAAUCUUGUCAAACUUCGUCGUGAUGGGGAUUGAUUAUUGAAAUUCUUGAUCAUCAACGAGGAAUUCCUAGUAAGCGCAAGUCAGCAGCUUGCGUUGAUUACGUCCCUGCCCUUUGUACACACCGCCCGUCGCUACUACCGAUUGAAUGGUUUAGUGAGAUCUUCGGAUUGGCGCCACUGCGGCUCAGCAAUGGGCUCGGUGGAUGCCGAAAAGUUGAUCAAACUUGAUCAUUUAGAGGAAGUAAAAGUCGUAACA
rnacentral:rRNA from 1 species